UAAGCGGAGGAAAAGAAACUAACAAGGAUUCCCCUAGUAACGGCGAGUGAAGUGGGAAAAGCUCAACUUUGAAAUCUGGCAGCUUCGCUGUCCGAGUUGUAGUCUCGAGAAGUGUUUUCCGCGCUGGACCAUGUAUGAGUCUGUUGGAAUACAGCGUCAUAGAGGGUGAGAACCCCGUUCAUGACAUGCCUUCCAGUGCUUUGUGAUACACUUUCGAUGAGUCGAGUUGUUUGGGAAUGCAGCUCAAAAUGGGUGGUAAAUUCCAUCUAAAGCUAAAUAUUGGGGAGAGACCGAUAGCAAACAAGUACCGUGAGGGAAAGAUGAAAAGCACUUUGGAAAGAGAGUUAACAGUACGUGAAAUUGUCGAAAGGGAAACGCUUGAAGUCAGACGUGCGUAGUGCCUUCGGGUGCUGUUGCAGGCCAGCAUCAGUUUUUCGAGCCGGAUAAAGGUGGGAGAAAGGUAGCAGUCUCGGCUGUGUUAUAGCCUCCCACUGAAUACGGAUUGUGAGACUGAGGAAUGCGAUUCUAGGAUGCUGGUGAAAUGGCUUUAAACGACCCGUCUUGAAACACG
rnacentral:rRNA from 1 species